GGCUCAUGCUGAGAGAGCUUUCCUCUUGGGCCACCAAUUCCUAAUCCCAAAGAGGACAUUAAUCUCUCCAAAGUAGAUCCUAUGAAAUGCAGAGCUCAUUGCAGAUCCUGCUUUCUCUCAGUCUGACCUUCUCUUGCCUCAUUUUUAAAGAUAAACCAAUAACCAUGGGUCAUCUGGCAUUUAAAGGAGAACUUGCAACAUGAAAGAAGCAGAAAAAUACAGACACUGGCAUGAAGUGAAGAAAUAAUUCAAAGUAUACAAAAGCUGGAACGACAUUAUACCAGUCUCCCCAGGAAGGGCCAGAAGGCCAGAGUUUUUCAACUUUCACUUCCAUCACUAUUGAAGAAGUCCUUGAAAGAGCUAAGUCCUAAGAGCUAUUUGCUAGCUGUACUCGUGGCAUCUGGAACCAUAGGUCCUAAUACCUAAAGAACAUUUCCACAAACACAGGGUGGCCAUGUUUUAGGUUUCCUGUGGAGGGGGCCGAAGAAGGAAGCAAUACAGUAGGGAAAACUUAGAACCAAGAAUGAGGAGCACAAUGAAAAGAAAAUCCUGAUUACAAAGAAGAUAUUUUGACUUACAAUUAAGAAAAGUGUGUUUGGGCUAAGAAUGAAAUGAUGUAGUAACUCUUUGAGAGUUUUUAAUUUGUCCUACAAAGGAGAAAGCCAUGUAUAAGCCUUAUAGGGUCUGAAGAAACGGAUCAGCAGUGAAGAGCACUGGCUACUCUUGCAGAGGACCAAAGGUGUUUCCCAGCUUCCAUGGCAGGUGGCUCACAACUGCCUGUAACUCCAACUUCAGGGCAUCUGAUGACUUUUUCCGGCUCCUCAGGUGCUCUACACAGUUUCAGAUACAGACCUGCAGACACAUAUUAUAAAGCUCAAGAAUUAAGUAAUUUGGAUGAGACCAUGAAGAUGAAGAGAAUAAUAUUCAAGUGUAAAUGCUAAAUUCUCACUUUGCUGCACAGUUAGAAGUGACUUCUAUGCAAAAUUUAUCUUCUCUUGGACCUCAUGGGUGUCUCGAGGCAUCCUCCCAGAUCACGUGCCGCAGAGGCGGGGCCACGUACAGAUUGAGGCAAGAGUGAGCAAGGGUCCGAAGUCUCAGCUGAAGGGUGAAGAACAAAUGGUUUUUAAAGGCCAGCGGAAUCCUAAGGAGAGCCUUAGCCUCCUCCCUUAUUCCUUCCCAAUCCCUCUCUCCCUCCCUCAUCUCUGACCCUGCCCCUUUCCAAGUCCACUGAUAGGGGAGGUCCUCCUCCCCUUCCAAGGAACAGAUGUUCUUAAUGCUGGGAAACAGAUUUACAAUAGCACUGAAGUUGGAAAAUGUUGCUGCUCAAAUUUUGUUAUUCUCUUUUGGUUUCCGCCUUCCACCUUCCCGAUGGUGAGUGCUCUCUGUCACGAACAAUUCCACAUUUGGCUAAGGCUGAGGAUCUGGCUUGCUUCCAUGUAUGUGGACCUAUCUGCAUUGCCCACGUGGCACGCCUGGGUUGGCUACCCAGAGGCUAUUUAAGCUGUGGGCUGGCUUUCCCCAGGGUCCGAGGAUUGUUCAAGGUUCCUGAAUAAACUGCAUUGAAAAAAAAAAAAAAAAGAAUUUGUACCUAUGAUUAUUUUCACUUCUCUAAGAACUUUGAAAUCUUAUUAAGUUCUCCCACAACUAUACUUGUAUUCCCUGCCCUACUCUGUAAUUGCACCAAACCGAAUGCCAGCAUUAUUUAAAUUUUAUUUCUUUGUAUUUUAUGUUUUUGAGUAGUUUUUUUGACUGAAUGUCUGUGUAUCACAUAUAUGCAGUCCCCAUUGGGGCCAGAAGAUAAUUUUGGGUCCUCUAGAUCUGAAGGUACAGAUGUUUGUAAAUCUGUACAUGGGUUCUGGAAAGAAGUGAAAAGUGCUCUUAAGCACUGAGCCAUUUAUCUAACUACAGUCAACAUCUUAAUUUUUUAAAUUUAUAUUUAUUUUGCUUGUUUGUGUAUACAAGUGCAUGAAACUAUGUACUUGCAUGUACCAUGUGGAUGCCUAGUGUCCUCAGAGGCCAAAAGAAAGCACAAGACUGCCAAUAGCACGACUUUGGUGAGCCACCAAGUAGGAGCUGGAAACCAAAGCUGGAUCCUCUGUAACAGCAGAAAAUAUCCCUCCCUGCGGAACCAUCUGGCAGGCUCAUCAGAAUAAAAAAUUAAUUCUUUAAUCUAUGGGGAGAGAAUGUCUUUUCCUUUUAAUACUUUCUUUUUUUCAGUUUUUCUCAGGAAUAUUUUCAGUAUUUUGUAGCUUUUGUAAUAUUAAUUCCUGAGUGUUAUAUACUUUAAGUAAUUAAAAUUGUAUUAUUCUUUUUAAAGGUAAUUUCUACUAUGUAGAAAAAGUAAAUUACCCUUUGCUUUGUAACGCUGGUAACUGAACCCAAGAACUUGAGCAUGCUAGUGAAAUGCAUCGAUUGGAUUUUAAAUGUUAAAGCAUUGCUUGGGUAAUCCCUAACUGGUCAUAUGAUAGAAAAUCUUUCUAUGUAUGGUUGAACUCCAUUUUCUAAAAAAAUUAAUUCAUUUUCAAGAAGGAUGCUGGUAGGUUUUUUCCCUUUGUAAUUUUGUUUGUUUUUCUGUUUUUGUUGUUGUUAUUUUAAUUUCAAAAUACCAUUGGUCACAAAAAUUAGUAGGGAAAUAUUCGUUUCUUUAGUCACCCAGAGCCAUUGUACACUGAUACAGUACUUCCGUUUUACUUUUUAUCUUAUUAUCAAAAAGUUACUCACAAUAUUCUGCCAUCAUUUUGACAUUUUAGACUUUUAAAUACUG